rnacentral:rRNA from 1 species
UACGUAGGGUGCGAGCGUUAAUCGGAAUUACUGGGCGUAAAGCGUGCGCAGGCGGUUCUCUGUGUCCUGCGUGAAAGCCCCGGGCUUAACCUGGGAAUGGCAUGGGAAACUGGCGGGCUGGAGUGUGGCAGAGGGGGGUGGAAUUCCGCGUGUAGCAGUGAAAUGCGUAGAGAUGCGGAGGAACACCGAUGGCGAAGGCAGCCCCCUGGGCUAACACUGACGCUCAGGCACGAAAGCGUGGGGAGCAAACAGG